ensembl:lncRNA
CAUGAAAGCGAGUUUUUCAAGGAUUCUCUUCUUAUGAAGCAUCCGUCGAGCUGUAAGAAAAGACGGACAGAAUGUAUUUUUUAAACCUUACAUUUUUUAUAGAGCAGAGAAGUUUAAUAGGUUCGAUUCAUCCCCCCGUCAAUUACCUCUCAGUCUUCCGAGAGGAGCUCUCACUCUCCUGAUAGGAGGCAAUCUGGACGGUUCCUCCUCAACCUGAUUUUCUUCAGUCUGAUUUUCUGUAUCGGUCUCUGUCGGGGAAAAUAAAACAGAAGAGAUUUAAGAAAACAAUCUCAUCCUUCCUAUUUUUCGAGAAUGAAAAAACUUUUUUAUUUACCUCGCUCCUCCGCCCGAUUGUCUGUAGCGGCGGGGGAUUGGUUAGGUAUAUCCGCAAUCUCGGCUGCCGAGAAAUAAAACAGAAAAGAGAAAGAUUUAAUAAAAAAAAAAAAAAAAAAAAAAAACUUUUUAGCUCGCUUUAUACCACUCCAAGUCGGGAGGGGCGGUAUAGCACACUCGGAUUACUCCGCCACAUCCUGAUAUUUAUCGAAAUGACGGAUAUUGCAUCAUAUUGUUUACCUUUUGGUUUAAAAGGUAUUUUCCUGCAGUUCUCCCGGUAUGCGUUGACGAAAAUAACGUCGUCGUCGUCUUCUUCUUCUUUUCGCUGCGGCGGGGUCUGUAUAUUCUCGGUUACCUCUGUCGAGAAAUAAAGCAAAACUUUUUUAAAAAUCUGCUCCGGGUCGGGAGGGGCGGUAUAGCACACUCGGAUUACUCCGUCACAUCCUGUUAUUCAACAAAAUGGCUGAUAAUGCAUCAUAUUGUUUACCUUCGAUUUUAAAACUUUUUUCUCCGCGGUUCUCCCGGUAUGCGGAGACGGAAAUAGUGCCGUCUUCUCUUCGAUGCGGCGGCAGCGGAGAUUCUGCGGGGGAUAUGGCUUCUAAUUCGCCGUGGAAAACGGCCGGAUUUCUGCUGUUACUCACUGCAUUAUCGAUUGUUUCUGUAAGUAUCAGAGCAUGGUUAAAUCAAGUCUAUCUAAACUUGUUUAAAAAAUGGUAUAUACUUAUUUAAACGUACCGUAGUCCACUUGCGUGAAAUCAUUGAUGUAGAAAUCUAAAAGAAAGUAAUCAAAUUAUUGACAUCUCUGUUGAUAUAUAAUUUAAAGUCGUAAAGAAAAAAACUUACCGGGGUGAGGUAUGAACAGAUCCGGCGAGAUGGCCCUCUGAUCGGCGGCGUUGUUUGAACGGGAUGCUGACAUAAUAUUCUCGGAUUCUUCCUCGCGAUUGGUAGAACUGUCACAGAUAGCGACUCCCCUUCCGCUUCUUCUCUCAUUUUAUCCUAGUCUAGCGAAGCAUCUGUUUUUCGCAUCUUUCUCUUGACAAUACCGGUAGUUAGAGGGGGUUUGUUUUUUUUUUGAUUGCCUUCUUGCGAACGCCGUCUGUUUUCCCCCAUUCCGCAACGGUAAAAUAUGGCUUUGAGACGGGUAUUUGUUUUACCAAAUGGACAAUUGCUGUCUGACCUUGUUCUUGCUGUUGACAAAACUCGGCUCAUGGUUGACUCGUUCCCACAGAGGGGGUGCUUUAAUAAACUUAUUCGAAUAAUUAGAUUUUUUUUCCUCGCUAAGACUAGUUUUAUGGGGAGAUGUAAAAAACAGGGUUACAAGCAAUGAUAAUAUCGGAUGCUGACUCCUCAGCGUCAUCAUUUUCUAUCUAUUGAGAAAACUUAUUGUAAAAAGUAAUGAAGAAAAAAACUCCUCCUUGCCUCGCGG